AAAUCCCAUUGAGGAACCCCAAAACCGCAUUAAGGAAUCCCCCAAACUCCAUUGAGAAACCACAAAUCCCAUUGAGAAACACCAAAACCCCAUUGAGAAACCCCAAAUCGCAUUAACAAAACCCAAAUCCCAUAGAGGAACCCCAAAUCCCAUUGAGGAACACCCAAAACCCCAUUGAGGAACCCCAAAUCCCAUAGAGGAACCCCAAAUCCACAUUGAGAAACCCCCAAAACCCCACUGAGGAGCCCCCAAAACCCCAGCAUUGGGGGGUUUAAUGGAGGUUUUGGGACCCCAAAACCCCAUCAGCCCCCCAAGACUGGAAAAGGAACCCCCAAAGGGGUAUCAGAACCCCUUGGGGGACCCCAAAACCCCAUCAGUUCCCCAGUACUGGGGAAGGAACCCCCAAAGUGGUACCAAGGCCACUUGGGAUCCCAGUUCAGGACCCCAAAACCCCAUCAGCCCCCCAAUACUGGGGAAGGGGACCCCCAAAGGUCCUGUAUGGGACCCCAAAACCCCAUUAUCACCCCAAUAUUGGGGAAGGAACUUCCAAAGGGUUACCAGAACCCCUUGGGGGACCCCAAAACCCCAUCAGCCCCCCAAUAUUGGGGAGGAGACCCCCAAAGAGCUACCAGGACCCAUUUGGGGACCCCAAAACCCCGUCAGCCCCCCAAUAUUGGGGAAGGGACCCCCAAAGUGGUACCAGGGCCUGUUUGGGGGACCCCAAAACCCUAUCAGCCCCCCAGUACUGGGGCAGGGGACCCCCAAAUGUCCUUUAUGGGACCCCAAAACCCCAUUACCACCCCAAUACUGGGGAAGGGGACCCCCAAAGGGCUCCCAGGACCCCUUGGGGGACCCCAAAACCCCAUCAGCCCCCCAAUAUUGGGGAAUAAACCCCCAAAGGGUUACCAGAACCACUUGGGGGACCCCAAAACCCCAUCAACCACCCCAAUACGGGAAAAGGGACCCCCAAAGGGGUACCGGGACCCCAAUACCGGGAAAAGGAACCCCCAAAGGACUACCAGAACCACUUGGGGGACCCCAAAACCCCAUCAGCCCCCCAAUAUUGGGGAAGGGGACCCCGAAAGGUCUUGUAUGGGACCCCAAAACCCCAUCAGCCCCCCAUUAUUGGGUCAGAAACCCCCAAAGUGGUACCAAGGCCACUUGGGAUCCCAGUUCAGGACCCCAAAACCCCAUUACCGCCCCAAUACAGGGAAAAUAACCCCCAAAGGGCUCCCAGGACCCCUUGGGGGACCCCAAAACCCCCCGAAUUUUGGGGUCCCACCUCCCGAGAGCAUGUAGUCGCGGAGCAGGGGCAGGCGGAACCAGCAGGGGAGGGUGAGGAGGUGGGGGCGCAGCCCCGGGAAGAGGACCCCAAAACCCGUGGCCUCGGUGCAGAAGUUGGCGAAGGCGCCGGCGGCCAGGACCCCGUGGGGGUGGAAGCCGAAAACGUAAUUUCGGCGGGGGUCCAGCUCCGCCGUCCGCACCAGCUAUAGGGUCGGGGGGAAAAGGGUGAGAUGGGGUGAUCCCAAAACCGCCCCCGGACCCUAAAGGGCCUCGGGAAGCCCCCAAGGCGCUGAGGGUGACCCAAGGCAUUGGGGAAGCCCCAAAUCCCAUUGAGGAACCCCAAAUCCUAUUAAGGAGUCCCCAAAUCCCAUUAAGGAAUCCCCAAAUCCCAGUGAGGAGCCCCCAAAUCCCAUUGAGGAAGCCCCAAAUCCCAGUGAGGAAACCCCAAAUCCAAUUAAGGAAUCCCCAAAUCCCAAUGAGGAGCCCCCAAAUCCCAUUGAGGAAUCCCCAAAACUCAUUGAGGAGCCCCUAAAUCCCAUUGAGAGAACCCCAAAUCCCAUCGAGAAAACCCCAAAUCCACUGAGGAGCCCCCAAACCCCAUCGAGGAAUCCCAAAUCCCACCGAGGAGCCCCCCAAUCUCAUCGAGGAAUCCCAAAUGCCAUUAAGGAACCCCCAAACCCCAUUGAUAAAACCCCAGAUCCCAAUGAGGAAACCCCAAAUCCAAUUAAGGAAUCCCCAAAUCCCAUUAAGAACCCCCAAAUCUCAUUGAGGAAACCCCAAAUCCCAGUGAGGAGCCCCCAAAUCCCAGUAAGGAGCCCCCAAAUCCCACCGAGGAGCUCCCAAAUUCCGCCAAGGAAA
rnacentral:lncRNA from 1 species